rnacentral:rRNA from 1 species
GAUGAACGCUGGCGGCGUGCUUAACACAUGCAAGUCGAACGAUGAAAGCGGGAGCUUGCUCCUGCUGGAUUAGUGGCGAACGGGUGAGUGACACGUGAGCAAUCUGCCCCGAACUCUGGGAUAAGCGUUGGAAACGACGUCUAAUACCGGAUACGACGCGCGAAGGCAUCUUCUGCGCGUGGAAAGAACUUCGGUUCGGGAUGAGCUCGCGGCCUAUCAGCUAGUUGGUGAGGUAACGGCCCACCAAGGCGACGACGGGUAGCCGGCCUGAGAGGGUGACCGGCCACACUGGGACUGAGACACGGCCCAGACUCCCACGGGAGGCAGCAGUGGGGAAUAUUGCACAAUGGGCGCAAGCCUGAUGCAGCAACGCCGCGUGAGGGACGACGGCCUUCGGGUUGUAAACCUCUUUUAGUAGGGAAGAAGCGAAAGUGACGGUACCUGCAGAAAAAGCACCGGCUAACUACGUGCCAGCCGCCGCUGUAAAAC